GUUUUCCUUCUCAAUGUCAUAUUUUCUUUGUUUUGUAUGUUCUUCCGGAGAUUCCGAGUCAUUUUCCGGCUCUUCUUCUUCUCACUUGAAACCUCGCGAGCCUUCUCUUGAUCUCUCUCUUCCCGAGAAUAUGGGUAAUAAGCGCAAAGAAAUCAUCAAGCCGAACAACUCUCGUGAUAUGAGCAGAAAGCGCGUGAGACUUGUUGGGAUGGCUAUAUGCCGAGUGUCUAUCCGAAAGAGAAUCCUAAUGCUUCCGACGCACGAUCAUUGCCCGAGGAUGUCCAGUUCCGCUUUUCAAAAGUAGUGGACGCUGCUGAAGAUGGUGUCAGCCCGCAGGUUUACACGCGGGUACAUGACUUUUGGGUUCCUUCUGCCUUAGCCGCUAUUAUAGGAGUAUUGUCGAGAGGUGCAGCCAUAUGGUAAAAGAGUGUAUUCCUGAUAGAAAUACCUUGUGUUAUAUAAAUAAGAACUUUCUGUAGGUCGCUGAUAAUCUUUCGCGGGUGAGGGAUGGUCCCAUUGACGUGGGUGUGUUGAAGGGUUGGGAGAUUACCAUUCGAUCGGCUCUCAGUCCCGGCUUUCCCAUGAAGUGGUUGGACGAGCUAUUGGCUAAGGUGGAGAUCGCACCUCCCAGGACAGAUUGCCAAAUUGGAGAAAGAUUUGACCGUUCUUGACGGCGCAACUUCUGAAAAUAAGGUUGCGCUGAACAACCUCGUUGCUAGCGUUGCCGCGGAAACUGCUGCAGCCAAGCAAGCGGAGGCGGCUGAGAAGGAGGUUCGUGUGGAGCUUGAGAAGAAAGGGAAUGAGUAGGCUGCGUUCCAAUCUAUUUGACAUGUUUUCAUUUCAUUACUCUUUCCUCUCUCCCCCCUCCCCCUUUUCUAUGACAUUGUGGUGUGUCUGAUUACGUUUUGAGGAUAUUGCGGAUAUUUUGUGUGUUGUUGUUGUUAUUAUUAUUUUUUGUUUUUUAAGUUAUUUGGGAUUUUGCUACAUUUGCAUCUGAGUUGUCGUUUAUUUGUGUGUUGCCUGUUAUAGGAUAUCCAUGCUUGCAGAGUUUAUUACUUGCUCUGACUUCUUUAUUCUUUCUUCUCAUGUCCGCCAAAUUUUUUUUUUAAUUCAAGUAUUUUCUAUUGCGUGUUCCCGACCACAUACCGCGUAUGGGAUGACUUGGUGGUAGCCUAUUAGAUUGCCAUGAGCGCUGCUCGUAGGUUUCUAUUUUUUGUUGUUGUAAUGCCCAGAGCAUGUUGUUGGCGCGUAUAGUUCUAUAGACUUAUAUAAAGAUAUUAUUGUAAAGGCAAAUUUUUAAUUCCAAUGAACUCUUGUUGUAAGGUCGUUUUUA